rnacentral:piRNA from 1 species
UGAAUCUAGGUUAGCAGACUGACCCUAGC